UACGUAGGGGGCAAGCGUUGUCCGGAUUUAUUGGGCGUAAAGAGCGUGUAGGCGGUUAGGUAUGUCCGUUGUGAAAACUCGAGGCUCAACCUCGAGACGCCGAUGGAAACCAUCUGACUAGAGUCCGGAAGAGGAGAGUGGAAUUCCUGGUGUAGCGGUGAAAUGCGCAGAUAUCAGGAGGAACACCGGUGGCGAAGGCGGUUCUCUGGGCAUUACCUGACGCUGAGGAGCGAAAGUGUGGGGAGCGAACAGG
rnacentral:rRNA from 1 species